GAGGUUUGAUCCUGGCUCAGGAUGAACGCUGGCGGCGUGCUUAACACAUGCAAGUCGAACGAAGCACUUUAUUUGAUUUCCUUCGGGACUGAUUAUUUUGUGACUGAGUGGCGGACGGGUGAGUAACGCGUGGGUAACCUGCCUUGUACAGGGAGAUAACAGUUGGAAACGGCUGCUAAUACCGCAUAAGCGCACAGCAUCGCAUGAUGCAGUGUGAAAAACUCCGGUGGUAUAAGAUGGACCCGCGUUGGAUUAGCUAGUUGGUGAGGUAACGGCCCACCAAGGCGACGAUCCAUAGCCGACCUGAGAGGGUGACCGGCCACAUUGGGACUGAGACACGGCCCAAACUCCUACGGGAGGCAGCAGUGGGGGAUAUUGCACAAUGGGGGAAACCCUGAUGCAGCGACGCCGCGUGGAGGAAGAAGGUCUUCGGAUUGUAAACUCCUGUUGUUGGGGAAGAUAAUGACGGUACCCAACAAGGAAGUGACGGCUAACUACGUGCCAGCCGCCGCGGUAAUAC
rnacentral:rRNA from 1 species